rnacentral:rRNA from 1 species
AUUCCAGCUCCAAUAGCGUAUAUUAAAGUUGUUGCAGUUAAAAAGCUCGUAUUUGAAUUUUUGUCUGUUGGGGCCUUGUUCUGUCCUUAGUGGCGGAGUUUAGUGUCCCGACGGACUUCCUGGGGGCCAACUAGUUGGUGUUUCAUUACACUGAUUAGGGAACCCCCUCGUUUACUGUGAAAAAAUUAGAGUGUUUCAAGCAGGCGUUUCGCAUUGAAUACAUUAGCAUGGAAUAAUAAGAUAGGACUUUGGUGCUAUUUUGUUGGUUUGCACACCAAGGUAAUGAUUAAGAGGGACAGUUGGGGGUAUUCGUAUUAUCAUGUCAGAGGUGAAAUUCUUGGAUUUUUGAAAGACGAACUUCUGCGAAAGCAUUUGCCAAGGAUGUUUUCAUUG